rnacentral:lncRNA from 1 species
CAUGAUGUUGUGAGAAUUUUUAUAUUUGAAAAAGUAAAAUUAAUUGUGUGAUGAUACAAUAAAAUCAAUAAUUUUUCUCCUAAAAAUAUAUAUGUUGUAGUUUAGUGAGUACCUAUACGCUGAAGAAGAGAGCCCUGCGUUUGUGCAUAUGCCUGAAGUUCAUGAAAAGCAUAUGCAUAAAUUAGUAAGUGUAGAUAUAUAUUAAUAUAUAUUAUGCCUAUAUGAUUAAUUAAAAGAAAUUACAUACUGAUUGAUCAGUUGCAUCAACAAGAUGAAGAAGGAGAAGUGAUGCGAGAAGGGAAGCAACUAGAAGCUUAGAGAAAGCCAUGGAAUAUGGGUUUAUUGGAAUAGUUGAUU